rnacentral:rRNA from 1 species
GCUAACGCAUUAAGUGCCCCGCCUGGGGAGUACGGCCGCAAGGCUAAAACUCAAAGGAAUUGACGGGGGCCCGCACAAGCGGCGGAGCAUGCGGAUUAAUUCGAUGCAACGCGAAGAACCUUACCAAGGCUUGACAUUCACCGGACCGCCCCAGAGAUGGGGUUUCCCUUCGGGGCUGGUGGACAGGUGGUGCAUGGUUGUCGUCAGCUCGUGUCGUGAGAUGUUGGGUUAAGUCCCGCAACGAGCGCAACCCUCGUUCUAUGUUGCCAGCACGUGAUGGUGGGGACUCAUAGGAGACUGCCGGGGUCAACUCGGAGGAAGGUGGGGAUGACGUCAAAUCAUCAUGCCCCUUAUGUCUUGGGCUUCACGCAUGCUACAAUGGCCGGUACAAAGGGUUGCGAUACUGUGAGGUGGAGCUAAUCCCAAAAAGCCGGUCUCAGUUCGGAUUGAGGUCUGCAACUCGACCUCAUGAAGUCGGAGUCGCUAGUAAUCGCAGAUCAGCAACGCUGCGGUGAAUACGUUCCCGGGCCUUGUACACACCGCCCGUCAAGUCACGAAAGUUGGUAACACCCGAAGCCGGUGGCCUAACCCCUUGUGGGA